CCUACGGGAGGCAGCAGUGGGGGCUAUUGCACAAUGGGGGAAACCCUGAUGCAGCGACGCCGCGUGAGUGAAGAAGUCUUUCGGUAUGUAAAGCUCUAUCAGCCGGGAAGAAAAUGACGGUACCUGACCAAGAAUCCCCGGCUCACUACGUGCCAGCAGCCGCGGUAAUACGUAGGGGGCCAGCGUUCUCCGGAUUUACUGGGUGUAACGGGAGCGUAGACGGUUAUGUAAGUUAGAAGGGAAAGACCCAGGGCUUAACUCGGGUGCUGCUUCUAAAACUGUAAGACUUGAGUGCAGUAGAGGUUAGUGGAAUUCCUAGUGUAGCGGUGGAAUGCGUAGAUAUUAGGAGGAACACCAGAGGCGAAGGCGGCGAACUGGACUGCAACUGACGCUGAGGCACGAAAGUGUGGGGAGCAAACAGGAUUAGAUACCCGAGUAGUC
rnacentral:rRNA from 1 species